AGCGAACGCUGGCGGCAGGCCUAACACAUGCAAGUCGAACGAACCUUUCGGGGUUAGUGGCGGACGGGUGAUUAACACGUGGGAACGUGCCUUUAGGUUCGGAAUAACUCAGGGAAACUUGUGCUAAUACCGAAUGUGCCCUUCGGGGGUAAGAUUUAUCGCCUUUAGAGCGGCCCGCGUCUGAUUAGCUAGUUGGUUGAGGUAAUGGCUCACCAAGGCGACGAUCAGUAGCUGUUCUGAGAGGAUGAUCAGCCACAUUGGGACUGAGACACGGACCAAACUCGUACGGGAGGGAGGAGUGGGGAACAUUACGCAAUGGGCGAAAGCCUAACGCAGCCAUGCCGCGGGAAUGAUGAAGGUCUUAGGAUUGUAAAAUUGUUUCACAGGAGACGAUAAUGACGGUAACCGGAGAAGAAGCCCCGGCUAACUUCGUG
rnacentral:rRNA from 1 species